rnacentral:rRNA from 1 species
ACGGGAGGCAGCAGUGGGGAAUAUUGCACAAUGGGGGAAACCCUGAUGCAGCGACGCCGCGUGAGUGAAGAAGUAUUUCGGUAUGUAAAGCUCUAUCAGCAGGGAAGAUAAUGACGGUACCUGACUAAGAAGCCCCGGCUAACUACGUGCCAGCAGCCGCGGUAAUACGUAGGGGGCGAGCGUUGUCCGGAAUGACUGGGCGUAAAGGGCGUGUAGGCGGCACUGUAAGUCUGGAGUGAAAGUCCUGCUUUCAAGGCGGGAAUUGCUUUGGAGACUGCAGAGCUUGAGUGCAGAAGAGGUAAGCGGAAUUCCCUGUGUAGCGGUGAAAUGCGUAGAGAUAGGGAGGAACACCAGUGGCGAAGGCGGCUUACUGGGCUGUAACUGACGCUGAGGCGCGAAAGCGUGGGGAGCGAACAGGAUUAGAUACCCUGGUA